rnacentral:rRNA from 1 species
GAUGAACGCUGGCGGCGUGCCUAAUACAUGCAAGUCGAGCGAACAGACGAGGAGCUUGCUCCUCUGACGUUAGCGGCGGACGGGUGAGUAACACGUGGAUAACCUACCUAUAAGACUGGGAUAACUUCGGGAAACCGGAGCUAAUACCGGAUAAUAUAUUGAACCGCAUGGUUCAAUAGUGAAAGACGGUUUUGCUGUCACUUAUAGAUGGAUCCGCGCCGCAUUAGCUAGUUUGUAAGGUAACGGCUUACCAAGGCGACGAUGCGUAGCCGACCUGAGAGGGUGAUCGGCCACACUGGAACUGAGACACGGUCCAGACUCCUACGGGAGGCAGCAGUAGGGAAUCUUCCGCAAAGGGCGAAAGCCUGACGGAGCAACGCCGCGUGAGUGAUGAAGGUCUUCGGAUCGUAAAACUCUGUUAUUAGGGAAGAACAAAUGUGUAAGUAACUAUGCACGUCUUGACGGUACCUAAUCAGAAAGCCACGGCUAACUACGUG